UGUAAAAAAAAAUGAUGUCUUUGUAUAAAAUCCCAAAACCACGCAAUAUUAGGUGAGCCUUGGUUGAACUUUAUGCAUGGAACUUUUGUUCCUGCAUCAAAAGAGAAAGCAAGUAGCCCUUGAUCGAACUUUAUGCAUGGAACUUUGGUUUCAACAUCAAAAGAGAAAGCAUCUUAUUGAUAAAACCGCCGAUGAAAACGUUUCAUUGCUCCUUUUCCCAUUAGUAAUUAUCAUGUUUUGGGCAUAUGUGUGUGUAUCACUUUGAGAGGGGAGAAAGGCAGACCCAAAUAUGUUUUCUAUGUGCAGUACAAGAACCAAGUACGUAUCUUAUUACUAUUAUAAUGUUAAUAUUGUUGCUAUUGGAUUGAUUUUUGAAAAAGAUGUGAAUAUUUCUUUCUAGUAAACCAGUGAACCAGAUUCACCCUCAUUUCUGCAUUCCACCCUUUGUCUGAUAUUAACCAGCCCAACACCAAAUCAUUAAUUUCCAGCUUUCUGAAACCUCCUUACUAAAGGUAACGUAUGAGAGAGAGAGAGAGAGAGAUGUGAUCCGAAACUAAUCAGUAAACUUACCCAUUUUAGCCUUUUGGGAGAUCAGUAGAGUUUCAUGCAUUGGCAGAGGGCUAAGUAAGGGUGGGGUUAUGAUAUAAGGAAUAUUUCAUAUUCACUGUACAAUGAGUAAAGAACAGAAAGGAAGAAGACCCCAAUAGCUUUUGUAUUAACUCACUCCAUUAAGUUUUUAACAGAAGAAGGUGCAGUCUCAGAAGCUCGGCAGGUUCUGAAUCCUCCUACCCCCUUACAUUUACAAGGCCUCCUUACACUACUAUGAUUAAACAAAAAUUAAGAGAGAAGAAGAAAAAUAUACUCUUUGGUAUUUGUCCUAGAAAACCAGUGGUCUUUACAACCAUGAGGACACCUCUUUGCCCAUGCAUUAAUGGCGAUUUAAGGCACACACAGUAAGACAUCAUUUUCUUUUACAUUCAAAAAAGAAAAGAAAAGGGAGGGAGAUGCAGAGAGAGACCCGAAGCUUUUACUGGGUUUUCCUCAACUUCCAUGGAAUCAUCUUCAAUUCUGCAAACCUUGAAAAUGGGUGUUGGCAACUUUCUCUUUCUAAACUCAUUUGUUGUGGAGAGGAUUUGGACCAGUGUGAAUCUUCCUUUUGUCUUGUUCAAAGAGCUUUUCACUAUCACUUGGAGCGUUUUUGUUGCCUCUUUGGAUUGGUAGUGGAGCCAAACCAGACAACAUUUCUUUUCUUGCACUUUUGAACACUGAAGAAGAAGAACAGGAGGAUGAAGAAGAAGAUGCAGCAGCCAAUUUUGUUUCUUGCAGACAAACCACCAAUAAAACCCAACACCAAGUAACAAUGCCUUUCCAGCUAAAGCCAUGGUGCUUUUUCCUCUUGAGCACAAUCAUUGUUGAACCCAAAAGAUGAGAAAGAAGAGCUUUACAGUUGUAGCAGAGAGAGAGAGAGAGAGAGUUCUUUCAAGGUAAGAGGUGGAGAAGAAAAUGGGGGUGGGGGGAUUUGUUGUUAAUAAAAAUGUUUGUCGGGUGGCCCUUACUUCGAAGUGGGGAGAAAGGUGGAGGUGAGAAAGAUUAGAAGGUUCUGAUCAGAAGAGGGAGGCGUGAAUCCCCACCUUGUUUGGAGUGGACUAAGCCUGCUUCACAUGCAAAACCGAAACACCAGCCGUAGUUCUUGGACUGUGAGAGAUUUUAGAGAGAGAACAGUGGGAAAGAGACCUGUUUUAGUUUCCUCAUCUUAUUGUAAGAGAGAGAGAGAGAGAGAGAAAUGCCCUUUGUAAACCUCCACACUUAUUGAUAGCCAUUUGUGUGUGUU